rnacentral:rRNA from 1 species
GAUCCGAGGUCACCAUAUUGUUGGAACGGCGGGACCGCCCCGGCGCCUUCGGGCCCGGAACCAGGCGCCCGCCGGAGGCCCCAAACUCUUAUGUCUUUAGUGGUUUUCUCCUCUGAGUGACACAUAAACAAAUAAAUAAAAACUUUCAACAACGGAUCUCUUGGUUCUGGCAUCGAUGAAGAACGCAGCGAAAUGCGAUAAGUAAUGUGAAUUGCAGAAUUCAGUGAAUCAUCGAAUCUUUGAACGCACAUUGCGCCCGCCAGUAUUCUGGCGGGCAUGCCUGUUCGAGCGUCAUUUCAACCCUCAGGCCCCCAGUGCCUGGUGUUGGGGAUCGGCCCAGCCUUCUCGCAAGGCCGCCGGCCCCGAAAUCUAGUGGCGGUCUCGCUGUAGUCCUCCUCUGCGUAGUAGCACAACCUCGCAGUUGGAACGCGGCGGUGGCCAUGCCCUUAAACACCCCACUUCUGAAAGUUGACCUCGGAACAGGUAGGAAUACCCGCUGAACUUAAGCAUAUCUUUAAGCCGGAAGUCAUUACCGAGUUGAUUCGGGCU